rnacentral:rRNA from 2 species
GGGGGGGGGCGGGCUACACAUGGCAAGUCGUGCGCGCCCUUCGGGGUGAGCGGCGGACGGGUGAGUAACGCGUGGGAACGUGCCCUUCAGUUGAGGAUAGCCCCGGGAAACUGGGAGUAAUACUCGAUACGCUCUACGGAGGAAUGAAGGAUCGGCCCGCGUUAGAUUAGGUAGUUGGUGCGGUAAUGGCGCACCAAGCCUACGAUCUAUAGCUGGUUUUAGAGGAUGAUCAGCCACACUGGGACUGAGACACGGCCCAGACUCCUACGGGAGGCAGCAGUGAGGAAUCUUAGACAAUGGGCGCAAGCCUGAUCUAGCCAUGCCGCGUGUGUGAUGAAGGCCUUAGGGUCGUAAAGCACUUUCGCCAGAGAUGAUAAUGACAGUAUCUGGUAAAGAAACCCCGGCUAACUCCGUGCCAGCAGCCGCGGUAAUACGGAGGGGGUUAGCGUUGUUCGGAAUUACUGGGCGUAAAGCGCACGUAGGCGGACUGGAAAGUUGGGGGUGAAAUCCCAGGGCUCAACCCUGGAACUGCCUCCAAAACUAUCAGUCUAGAGUUCGAGAGAGGUGAGUGGAAUUCCGAGUGUAGAGGUGAAAUUCGUAGAUAUUCGGAGGAACACCAGUGGCGAAGGCGGCUCACUGGCUCGAUACUGACGCUGAGGUGCGAAAGUGUGGGGAGCAAACAGGAUUAGAUACCCCUGGUAGUCCACACCGUAAACGAUGAAUGCCAGUCGUCGGGUUGCAUGCAAUUCGGCGACACACCUAACGGAUUAAGCAUUCCGCCUGGGGAGUACGGUCGCAAGAUUAAAACUCAAACGAAUUGACGGGGGCCCGCACAAGCGGCGGAGCAUGCGGUGUAAUUUCGCAGCAACGCGCUACAACCUUUACCAACCCCUUGACAUACUCCGUCGUCGCUCCAGAGAUGGUAGCUUUCACUUAAAUGGACGAUAUACAUGGUGCUGCUUCGACUUGUCGUCAGCUUCGUGUCG